UAGUCCACGCCGUAAACGAUGAGCGCUAGUCGUCGAGGCAUUAUGCAGCGGUGAUACAGCUAACGCGUUAAGCGCUCCGCCUGGGGAGUACGGUCGCAAGACUAAAACUCAAAGGAAUUGACGGGGACCCGCACAAGCGGUGGAGCAUGUGGUUUAAUUUGAUGCUACGCGAAGAACCUUACCACCAUUUGACAUCUUGAUCGCGGAUCGUAGAGAUACUUUCCUUCAGUUCGGCUGGAUCAAUGACAGGUGUUGCAUGGCUGUCGUCAGCUCGUGUCGUGAGAUGUUGGGUUAAGUCCCGCAACGAGCGCAACCCUUAUCCUUAUUUGCCAGCGGUCAGGCCGGGAACUAUAAGGAGACUGCCCGUGAUAAACGGGAGGAAGGUGGGGACGACGUCAAGUCAUCAUGGCCCUUACAUGGUGGGCUACACACGUGCUACAAUGGAAGUGACAAUGAGAAGCAAUACCGCGAGGUGGAGCAAAUCUCAAAAAGCUUA
rnacentral:rRNA from 1 species